GGAUUUUCUUAGUAGCGGCGAGCGAAAAGAAAAUAGUUCAGCACUAAGUCACUUUGUCUUUAUGGCAAAUGUGAGAUGCAGUGUAUGGAAUGUCAAAUUUCUAGUAUGAGAAAUUAACGAUUUAAGUCCUUCUUAAAUGAGGCCAUUUACCCAAAGAGGGUGCCAGGCCCGUAUAACGUUAAUGAUUACUAGAUGGCAUUUCCAAAGAGUCGUGUUGCUUGAUAGUGCAGCACUAAGUGGGUGGUAAACUCCAUCUAAAACUAAAUAUAACCAUGAGACCGAUAGUAAACAAGUACCGUGAGGGAAAGUUGAAAAGAACUCUGAAUAGAGAGUUAAAUAGUACGUGAAACUGCUUAGAGGUUAAGCCCGAUGAACCUGAAUAUCCGUUAUGGAAAAUUCAUCAUUAUGAUUUUAAUAUUUAUAAUAUUAUAAUAAUGGUGUGCAUUUUUUCUAUAAAGGACAUUGUAAUCUAUUAACUUUACAUUAUUUAUCAUAAGAUCAUUAGAUUAUGUUUAUUCAAAUUAUUUUGCUUGCAAUUUAAUAUCGAAUAAAUUCUUUUGAUUUGAUAAAGCGUUGAUAGAUUUAUUAUAUACAGUGCUUAAAUAUUUAUAUUUUAUAAUAUCAUAUUAAUCAAUGAUUUUUAUGUUCAUUAUAUGCACUUGUAUGAUUAACAAUGCGAAAGAUUCAGGAUACCUUCGGGACCCGUCUUGAA
rnacentral:rRNA from 1 species